UAAUACGGAGGGGGCGAGCGUUGUUCGGAAUCAUUGGGCGUAAAGGGCGCGUAGGCGGCGUCGUAAGUCAGAUGUGAAAGCCCUUGGCUUAACCAAGGAAUUGCAUCUGAAACUGCGGUGCUUGAAUCCGGGAGGGGAGAGUGGAAUUCCCAGUGUAGCGGUGAAAUGCGUAGAUAUUGGGAGGAACACCGGCGGCGAAGGCGGCUCUCUGGACCGGUAUUGACGCUGAGGCGCGAAAGCUAGGGGAGCAAACGGGAUUAGAUACCCCGGUAGUCCUAGCUGUAAACGAUGGGCACUUGGUGUGGCGGGUGUCGACCCCUGCCGUGCCGAAGCAAACGCAUUAAGUGCCCCGCCUGGGGAGUACGGUCGCAAGGCUG
rnacentral:rRNA from 1 species